rnacentral:rRNA from 1 species
GAUGAACGCUGGCGGCGUGCCUAAUACAUGCAAGUCGAGCGAACAGACGAGGAGCUUGCUCCUUCGACGUUAGCGGCGGACGGGUGAGUAACACGUAGGUAACCUACCUAUAAGACUGGGAUAACUUCGGGAAACCGGAGCUAAUACCGGAUAAUAUUUCGAACCGCAUGGUUCGAUAGUGAAAGAUGGCAUUGCUAUCACUUAUAGAUGGACCUGCGCCGUAUUAGCUAGUUGGUAAGGUAACGGCUUACCAAGGCAACGAUACGUAGCCGACCUGAGAGGGUGAUCGGCCACACUGGAACUGAGACACGGUCCAGACUCCUACGGGAGGCAGCAGUAGGGAAUCAUCCGCAAUGGGCGAAAGCCUGACGGAGCAACGCCGCGUGAGUGAUGAAGGUCUUCGGAUCGUAAAACUCUGUUAUUAGGGAAGAACAAACGUGUAAGUAACUGUGCACGUCUUGACGGUACCUAAUCAGAAAGCCACGGCUAACUACGUG